rnacentral:tRNA from 1 species
GGAUCGUUCGCCUAGUUGGUUAUGGCACUACCCUGUCACGGUAGAAUAACAUGGGUUCAAGUCCCAUACGAUUCG